rnacentral:rRNA from 1 species
UUCGCAAUGCCCGAAAGGAUGAAUGGGCGACGCCGCGUGCGGGAUGAAGGCCUUCGGGUUGUAAACCGCUUUUGCAAGGGAAAAACUUAAUGAUGGUACCUUGCGAAUAAGAGGUUACUAACUCUGUGCCAGCAGUAGCGGUAAUACAGAGACCUCAAGCAUUAUCCGGAUUUAUUGGGCGUAAAGCGCGGGUAGGCGGAUAUAUUAGUCGGGUGUGAAAUCCCCUGGCCCACCCAGGGAACUGCAUUCGAAACUUCAAGGCUUGAGUGAAGAAGGGGAGAGUGGAACUCCAGGUGGAGCGGUGAAAUGCGUAGAUAUCUGGAGGAACGCCGGUGGCGAAGGCGACUCUCUGGUCUGUAACUGACGCUGAGGUGCGAAAGCUAGGGGAGCAAACGGGAUUAGAUACCCCGGUAGUCCUAGCCCUAAACGAUGGGCACUAAGUAGAGGGGUUUU